rnacentral:rRNA from 1 species
GAUGAACGCUGGCGGCGUGCCUAAUACAUGAAAGUCGAACGGAAAGCCCCUGCUUUUGGCGCCUGCUCGAGUGGCGAACAAGGGAUUAACACGUGAUUGACCAGCUCUUUACAGUCGGAUAAUUUCAGGUAACUAGGGAUAAUAAUACCUAGUAACUCUUGCUGCAUGGUGGCGGUAGGAAAAAUUGGGCUGCUGGGGAUGGUCUCGCGGCUUAUCAGCUUGUUGGUUGGGUAGUGGCUUACCAAGGCUUUGACGGAUAGCCGGCAUGAGAGGGUGGACGGCCACAUUGGGACUACGAUAGGGCGCAGAAUCGAACGGGAGGCAGCAGUGGAGAAUAUUACGGAGUAGGCGGGAGCCUGAUGCAGCAACGCCGCGUGCGGGAAGACGGCCUUCGGGUUGUAAACCGCUUUCGCAUGUGACGAAGCGAGAGUGACGGUAAUGGAUAAAGAAGCGCCGGCUAAAUACGUG